CGCUCUAGGCUACCGGGCCGUCCCCGCCGAGCUGCGGCUGUCCUCACUCAUCCUCAGCGAGAAGCAGGUCCUGCCGACUGAGAAGAUGAAGGACGAAACCUGCCCCGCUGAGUGCGGGAGUUCGUCGCAUGCGCAUGUCGUGGAACCUACUCUCCACGAGUUUUUAUUGUUGUUGCUUUUGUACCCCCUCGGGAUCCCUAGCGGAGGCAGUGACUCUCUUUCCCCCCAAGACGUUGUUCCCUGUUUGAAGGUGUUCUUCCUAAUGUUUCCUAGGCUGCUGAAUUCAGCUCUCUAAAAAAUGCGGAAUGCUAACCAUGACUCCCAGGACUGCUUUGGAUGCUGUGUGGAGAGUAGACAAUGGAGCUAAGGGCAAAAGGGAGAUCAGUCAGAAGUUAUUGCUGGCUUGGACCCAGGCAAUAAUAGGUGGAGAGGUAAGUGGACAUAUUUUAGACAUAUUUUAAAGAAAGCCAACCAAAUUUGCUGACAUUGAAUAUGGAGUGUGGGAGUAUCAAUCACUGCCAUGGGUAUGAAAAUCUUAAUAAACAGAAUUGGAACUCA
rnacentral:lncRNA from 1 species